UACGGAGGGUGCAAGCGUUAUCCGGAUUCACUGGGUUUAAAGGGUGCGUAGGAGGGCAGGUAAGUCAGUGGUGAAAUCUUCGAGCUUAACUCGGAAACUGCCGUUGAUACUAUCUGUCUUGAAUACCGUGGAGGUGAGCGGAAUAUGUCAUGUAGCGGUGAAAUGCUUAGAUAUGACAUAGAACACCAUUGCGAAGGCAGCUCGCUACACGAAUAUUGACUCUGAGGCACGAAAGCGUGGGGAUCAAACAGG
rnacentral:rRNA from 1 species